UACAGGCUUCAAAGAAAAAAAUAAUAUGAGACCAAUGAAUGGUUAACGUUAAAUUGUGCUGAAAUUUCACAAUAAUUAGUUUGACUUUAGCUGUCUGUUUCACAAGUGAAUGCUUCGUCAAUGUGGCAGUUCAAUGGCAGUUUCUCCAAGAAUCUACUUCGUUGGGUCCAACCUCAAAUCUACAGCCUACGUAUUUCACCAAAGAGCCUGGAGUCGGUGGUUCUUUUGUGGUGCUGGGUGAAAUCCACUACAAUCAGAAAAUGAAGACGAUGAUCUGAAGAUAACAAGGGAUUACAGUUAAGUAGGUAAAGAGUCUGUAAGUGAGAACAGCACACGAGGGAAGGUUCAAACAAGACCGGACAACUGUGAAUGGAGAUCAGUUUAUAGUCCAGCGCUGGUGUCGUCUGAAGUCCUUGGAAGGGUCGGUGUCAUCGUUCCUUAUGUGUUGGGUCAUGUGAUGGAGGUGGGAUCCAGACUGGAGCUGGUAUGUUCUCUACUGUAGUUACCUCAGGAUGAGCAUAGAAACAGAAAAACAAAGAGAGAAAAUUAGUAUAGCUGCUGUUCAUAGCUUUUUAGGUAGAGGAUAGUUAUUAAGAAGUUAUUCAUAACUUAAUGCAAAGUUACAGGAUGUAAUUAUGUGUAUUCCAGGCUGAAGAGAUGUGUCUGAACCCCGACCAGUGUCAGGAAGGAUGUUCAACAGUUUAGAUGUCACGGGUGAACAUGUCGUGGCCAGGAUUUAAGUGGCUGUGACCUUUCUUGGUGGAAAGUGCCCUGUAAUUGUCCUCUGGAAUUGGGAGUUAAGAACCGCAUCUUACUUUGUCCAUGUUGGCAGUAGCGCUCUUCUCAUCAUUGGGAAGCUCUCUGCUCUAUGGUGGUUUUGACCUGGCUGUGGUUAAGUCUCCUGUGGUAUACAUUAAGACUCUUAUAACCAAACCAUUGUGAGACGAUAUGGGUCAGGAUUGGAUGAAGAGCAUCUUACGCUUUUGCAGGAAAGGGACACUGAUACACAGCACAGCUCUGGUGUUUUUAGGAGGGGUUCAGUCGGUUAUGUGGCGGCUCACCAGAAAUGAUUAUUAUUGCUGGCUUCAUUACAGGAAUACGUUCAGGAAUAUAUGUUGUUGUAGGGAUAUCCACCACCCUCCAGAAUUACGUAGGGAGUGUCUGGAAUCCACUCCUGGGGGGCUCUGUAAUGAGAGCCAGGAUGGCUCCCUCUGCUGGCCUGUAGAGGAUUCUGUCACACAUCUGACUCUGAACUUCAUUACCCAUAAUCCCUUGCACUAGUCUCAUCACCACACCUGUUUCCUGUUUGCUCAUUAUCUGGACUAUUUAAAUCACACUCAUUGCUAAGUCUUGCUAGUAUUGUCUGCAUUUCUGAGCGUAUCUUUCCUAUCACUCUGUUCUGUAUCCUGCCUUGUUUUUACCUGUGCCUGUUUAUCGUGUUUAUGAUUGUUUGCUGCCUGCCCUGACCUACGCCUGUAUUACUGACUACGUUUUUGGAUUAUCUUUGUUGUUGUUUGCCUGGCUGUCGACCCUUACCUAUAUGUGGAUAUUCUUUAAUAAAACCUGGAAUUGGAUCAAA